AACGAACGCUGGCGGCAGGCCUAACACAUGCAAGUCGAGCGCCCCGCAAGGGGAGCGGCGGACGGGUGAGUAACGCGUGGGAACGUGCCCUUUGCUACGGAAUAGCCCCGGGAAACUGGGAGUAAUACCGUAUAAGCCCUACGGGGGAAAGAUUUAUCGGCAAGGGAUCGGCCCGCGUUGGAUUAGGUAGUUGGUGGGGUAAUGGCCUACCAAGCCGACGAUCCAUAGCUGGUUUGAGAGGAUGAUCAGCCACACUGGGACUGAGACACGGCCCAGACUUCUACGGGAGGCAGCAGUGGGGAGUCUUAGACAAUGGGCGCAAGCCUGAUCUAGCCAUGCCGCGUGAGCGAUGAAGGCCUUAGGGUUGUAAAGCUCUUUCGUGGGGGAAGAUAAUGACUGUACCCCAAGAAGAAGCCCCGGCUAACUCCGUGCCAGCCGCCGCAGUAACAC
rnacentral:rRNA from 1 species